GUGGACGCAAGCAUCAAGAAGAGCGGGAGCCUAAGUGUUCAGACUGAUAUAAACGUAAUGGACAAUAGUAAGGAAACUUUAAACGAGAUCGGGCUCGGGAGUUCAAAUGAACAUGCCGGAAAUAACGUUUCGAGGAAGAAAGUUACCAAUAGGAGUACUAAGAACGAGAAGAGUCGGGAUAGAAGCACAGAAAACACUGAUGUAGUAGAUAAAGUGGUUCUUACGAAGGGUGCAGGAUCCAAA
rnacentral:misc_RNA from 1 species